GCUGACGAGUGGCGGACGGGUGAGUAAUGUCUGGGAAACUGCCUGAUGGAGGGGGAUAACUACUGGAAACGGUAGCUAAUACCGCAUAACGUCGCAAGACCAAAGAGGGGGACCUUAGGGCCUCUUGCCAUCGGAUGUGCCCAGAUGGGAUUAGCUAGUAGGUGGGGUAACGGCUCACCUAGGCGACGAUCCCUAGCUGGUCUGAGAGGAUGACCAGCCACACUGGAACUGAGACACGGUCCAGACUCCUACGGGAGGCAGCAGUGGGGAAUAUUGCACAAUGGGCGCAAGCCUGAUGCAGCCAUGCCGCGUGUAUGAAGAAGGCCUUCGGGUUGUAAAGUACUUUCAGCGGGGAGGAAGGGAGUAAAGUUAAUACCUUUGCUCAUUGACGUUACCCGCAGAAGAAGCACCGGCUAACUCCGUGCCAGCAGCCGCGGUAAUACGGAGGGUGCAAGCGUUAAUCGGAAUUACUGGGCGUAAAGCGCACGCAGGCGGUUUGUUAAGUCAGAUGUGAAAUCCCCGGGCUCAACCUGGGAACUGCAUCUGAUACUGGCAGGCUUGAGUCUCGUAGAGGGGGGUAGAAUUCCAGGUGUAGCGGUGAAAUGCGUAGAGAUCUGGAGGAAUACCGGUGGCGAAGGCGGCCCCCUGGACGAAGACUGACG
rnacentral:rRNA from 1 species